rfam:Clostridium sp. C105KSO13 isolate C105KSO131 genome assembly, contig: {contig75}
GGUUAUGCUUUUAAGAGCGUAUGGUGGAUGCCUUGGCACUAAGAGCCGAUGAAAGACGUGACAAGCUGCGAUAAGCUUCGGGGAGGGGCAAAUACCCAUCGAUCCGGAGAUUUCUGAAUGGGGAAACCCACUAAAGCAAACCUUUAGUAUCCUUAACCCAAUCCAUAAGUUAAGGAGGGGAACCCGGUGAACUGAAACAUCUAAGUAGCCGGAGGAAGAGAAAACAACAUGUGAUUCCGGAAGUAGCGGCGAGCGAAACCGGAAGAGCCCAAACCAGGGUGCGUGCACCCUGGGGUUCGGACCGUAUAAUUGAUUCAUGACAGAUAGCAGAAUGGUUUUGGGAAAGCCAGCCAGAGAGGGUGAAAGCCCCGUAGGCAAAAUCUGAAAUGACAUGGCGGUAUCCAGAGUACCACGAGACACGAGAAACCUUGUGGGAAUAUGCGGGGACCACCCCGUAAGGCUAAAUACUACUUAGUGACCGAUAGCGCAUAGUACUGUGAAGGAAAGGUGAAAAGGACCCCGGGAGGGGAGUGAAAGAGAACCUGAAACCAUAUGUUUACAAGCUGUAU